rnacentral:rRNA from 1 species
UCCGGUGGCGAUAGCGCUGGGGCCACACCUGUUCCCAUUCCGAACACAGUAGUUAAGCCCAGCAACGCUGAUGGUACUGCUGGGGUAACCCAGUGGGAGAGUAGGACGCUGCCGGUU